rnacentral:rRNA from 1 species
UACGUAGGGUGCAAGCGUUAAUCGGAAUUACUGGGCGUAAAGCGUGCGCAGGCGGUUUUGUAAGUCUGUCGUGAAAUCCCCGGGCUCAACCUGGGAAUUGCGAUGGAGACUGCAAGGCUAGAAUCUGGCAGAGGGGGGUAGAAUUCCACGUGUAGCAGUGAAAUGCGUAGAGAUGUGGAGGAACACCGAUGGCGAAGGCAGCCCCCUGGGUCAAGAUUGACGCUCAUGCACGAAAGCGUGGGUAGCGAACAGG